GACAGGUGAUGCAAGCGUUAUCCGGAUUGAUUGGGCGUAAAGCGUCUGCAGGUGGCUCGGUAAGUCUGCUGUCAAAGCCCCGGGCUUAACCCUGGACAGGCAGUGGAAACUACCGAGCUUGAGUACGGUAGGGGCAGAGGGAAUUCCCGGUGGAGCGGUGAAAUGCGUAGAGAUCGGGAAGAACAUCGGUGGCGAAAGCGCUCUACUGGACCGCAACUGACACUCAGGGACGAAAGCUAGGGGAGCGAAUGGG
rnacentral:rRNA from 1 species